GACGAACGCUGGCGGUGUGCUUAACACAUGCAAGUCGAACGGAAAGGCCCUGCUUUUGUGGGGUGCUCGAGUGGCGAACGGGUGAGUAACACGUGAGUAACCUGCCCUUGACUUUGGGAUAACUUCAGGAAACUGGGGCUAAUACCGGAUAGGAGCUCCUGCUGCAUGGUGGGGGUUGGAAAGUUUCGGCGGUUGGGGAUGGACUCGCGGCUUAUCAGCUUGUUGGUGGGGUAGUGGCUUACCAAGGCUUUGACGGGUAGCCGGCCUGAGAGGGUGACCGGCCACAUUGGGACUGAGAUACGGCCCAGACUCCUACGGGAGGCAGCAGUGGGGAAUAUUGCACAAUGGGCGGAGGCCUGAUGCAGCAACGCCGCGUGCGGGAUGACGGCCUUCGGGUUGUAAACCGCUUUCGCCUGUGACGAAGCGUGAGUGACGGUAAUGGGUAAAGAAGCACCGGCUAACUACGUG
rnacentral:rRNA from 1 species